CCGAAGAUCAAGGCUGUGCCCACAAGCACCACUCUGAAAUCCACAUCAAUCCUCCGCUCCUACAUCCGCUCCAACCAAGCCUGACGGCCAGGGAGCUGCUGACCGCCAACCGUGAUUGUGACAGACAGAUCCAAUAUGACCACGAAGCACCGGCCCGGUUUUGAUUGCCAGUUUCUUCAUGCUGCUGCUGGACUUUUGAGCUGAAGGCAAUUUUUGAUAAAGUACAUUCAAG